GUGAGUAACCUGCCCUUAACUCUGGGAUAAGCCUGGGAAACUGGGUCUAAUACCGGAUAUGACUCCUCAUCGCAUGGUGGGGGGUGGAAAGCUUUAUUGUGGUUUUGGAUGGACUCGCGGCCUAUCAGCUUGUUGGUGAGGUAAUGGCUCACCAAGGCGACGACGGGUAGCCGGCCUGAGAGGGUGACCGGCCACACUGGGACUGAGACACGGCCCAGACUCCUACGGGAGGCAGCAGUGGGGAAUAUUGCACAAUGGGCGCAAGCCUGAUGCAGCGACGCCGCGUGAGGGAUGACGGCCUUCGGGUUGUAAACCUCUUUCAGUAGGGAAGAAGCGAAAGUGACGGUACCUGCAGAAGAAGCGCCGGCUAACUACGUGCCAGCAGCCGCGGUAAUACGUAGGGCGCAAGCGUUAUCCGGAAUUAUUGGGCGUAAAGAGCUCGUAGGCGGUUUGUCGCGUCUGCCGUGAAAGUCCGGGGCUCAACUCCGGAUCUGCGGUGGGUACGGGCAGACUAGAGUGAUGUAGGGGAGACUGGAAUUCCUGGUGUAGCGGUGAAAUGCGCAGAUAUCAGGAGGAACACCGAUGGCGAAGGCAGGUCUCUGGGCAUUAACUGACGCUGAGGAGCGAAAGCAUGGGGAGCGAACAGGAUUAGAUACCCUGGUAGUCCAUGCCGUAAACGUUGGGCACUAGGUGUGGGGGACAUUCCACGUUUUCCGCGCCGUAGCUAACGCAUUAAGUGCCCCGCCUGGGGAGUACGGCCGCAAGGCUAAAACUCAAAGGAAUUGACGGGGGCCCGCACAAGCGGCGGAGCAUGCGGAUUAAUUCGAUGCAACGCGAAGAACCUUACCAAGGCUUGACAUGGGCCGGACCGGGCUGGAAACAGUCCUUCCCCUUUGGGGGCCGGUUCACAGGUGGUGCAUGGGUUGUCGUCAGCUCGUGUCGUGAGAUGUUGGGUUAAGUCCCGGCAACGAGCGCACCCUUCGUUCAAUGUUUGCCAGCGGCGUAAUGGCGGGGAACUCAUGGGGAGAACUG
rnacentral:rRNA from 1 species